rnacentral:rRNA from 1 species
CCUACGGGAGGCAGCAGUGAGGAAUAUUGGUCAAUGGACGAGAGUCUGAACCAGCCAAGUAGCGUGAAGGAUGACUGCCCUAUGGGUUGUAAACUUCUUUUAUAUGGGAAUAAAAUGUUCCACGUGUGGGAUUUUGUAUGUACCAUAUGAAUAAGGAUCGGCUAACUCCGUGCCAGCAGCCGCGGUAAUACGGAGGAUCCGAGCGUUAUCCGGAUUUAUUGGGUUUAAAGGGAGCGUAGGUGGAUUGUUAAGUCAGUUGUGAAAGUUUGCGGCUCAACCGUAAAAUUGCAGUUGAAACUGGCAGUCGUGAGUACAGUAGAGGUGGGCGGAAUUCGUGGUGUAGCGGUGAAAUGCUUAGAUAUCACGAAGAACUCCGAUUGCGAAGGUAGCUCACUGGACUGUAACUGACACUGAGGCUCGAAAGUGUGGGUAUCAAACAGGAUUAGAUACCCCAGUAGUC